rfam:Hadesarchaea archaeon YNP_N21 contig_4, whole genome shotgun sequence.
AUUCCGGUUGAUUCUGCCGGAGGCCACUGCUAUUGGGGUUCGGCUAAGCCAUGCGAGUGGAGGGCGCGUCGCAAGACGUGGCCCCGCGUACGGCUCAGUAACACGUAGUCAACCUACCCUUGAGUCCGGGAUAACCUCGGGAAACUGAGGAUAAUACCGGAUAGGCGAGAGAUGCUGGAAUGCUCUCUCGCUUAAAGCUACGGCGCUCAAGGAUGGGACUGCGGCCUAUCAGGCUGUUGGCGGGGUAACGGCCCACCAAACCUACAACGGGUACGGGCGAUGGGAGUCGGAGCCCGGAGAUGGGGACUGAGACAAGGCCCCAGGCCCUACGGGGCGCAGCAGGCGCGAAAACUCCGCAAUGCGCGAAAGCGUGACGGGGGAACCCCAAGUGCCGCUGUACUUUGUACGGCGGCUUUUCGAGAGUGUAAGAAGCUCUCGGAAUAAGGGCUGGGCAAGACUGGUGCCAGCCGCCGCGGUAAUACCAGCAGCCCAAGUGGUGGUCACGAUUAUUGGGCCUAAAGCGCUCGUAGCCGGGUUGAUGUGUCCCUUGUGAAAUCGGGCGGCUCAACCGUUCGGCUUGCAAGGGAUACUAUCAGCCUUGGGGUCGGGAGAGGUCGAGGGUACUCCGGGGGUAGCGGUGAAAUGCUGUAAUCCUCGGGGGACCACCAGUGGCGAAGGCGCUCGACCAGAACGAGCUCGACGGUGAGGGGCGAAAGCUGGGGGAGCGAACGGGAUUAGAUACCCCGGUAGUCCCAGCCGUAAAGCAUGCAGGCCAGGUGUCUGGUACUCUUUGAGAGUACCAGGUGUCGUAGGGAAGCCGUUAAGCCUGCCGCCUGGGAAGUACGGUCGCAAGACUGAAACUUAAAGAAAUUGGCGGGGGAGCACCACAAGGGGUGGAGCCUGCGGUUUAAUUGGAUUCAACGCCGGACAACUCACCAGGGGCGACAGCUGGUUGAAGGCCAGGUUGAUGACCUUGCCGGACUAGCUGAGAGGUGGUGCAUGGCCGUCGUCAGCUCGUACCGUGAGGCGUCCUGUCAAGUCAGGCAACGAGCGAGACCCUCGCCCCUAGUUGCUACCGGUUGAAUGCCGGGCACUCUAGGGGGACCGCUGGCGCUAAGCCAGAGGAAGGGGAGGGCGACGGUAGGUCCGUAUGCCCCGAAUCCCCUGGGCUACACGCGGGCUACAAUGCGCAAGACAAUGGGAUGCGACCCCGUGAGGGGAAGCCAAACCCAUAAACUUGCGCUCAGUUCGGAUCGAGGGUUGAAACUCACCCUCGUGAAGCUGGAAUCCCUAGUAAUCGCGAGCCACUACCUCGCGGUGAAUACGUCCCUGCUCCUUGCACACACCGCCCGUCAAGCCACUCGAGUGGGGUCUAGAUGAGGCUUACUCGUAUGGGUAAGUCGAAUCUAGGUUCCGCAAGAGGGGCUAAGUCGUAACAAGGUAGCCGUAGGGGAACCUGCGGCUCGAUCACCUCCA